rnacentral:ncRNA from 1 species
UUCUUCUAUCCUUUCACCCUAUGAAGCAUGGAUACAGACACAGAUAUGAAUAUGGGUACGGGACAAUAAUUUCUAAGAAAGUGAGGCACGGAUAUGGUGAGGGCACAAAUAAUUUAAUAUAUAUGUAUAUACAUCGGCUAACUCUGUAGCAGCAUCUGCGGUGUAAUACAGAAGAUGCGAGCGUUAUCUGAAAUGAUUGGUCGUAAAGCGUCUAUCGGUGGCUUUUUAAGUCCGUCUUGAUUUCUCAAAGCUCAAACCCAGACAGGCGGUGGAAACUGCCAAGCUGGGAUAUAGUAGGAGCAGAGGGAAUUUUUGAUGGAGCCAUGAAAUGCAUAGAGAUCGGAAAGAAUACCAACAGCGAAAGCACUCCGCUGGGCCAACACUAACACUGAGAAACAAAAGCUAAGGAAGCGAAUGGGAUUAGAUACCCUAGUAGCCUUAGCCGUAAACGAUAGAUACUAGGUGUUGUGCAUAUCGACCGAUGUAGUGUUGUAGUUAACGCAUUAAGCAUCCCACCUUAAGUAUCCCGCCUGGGGAGUACGUUCGCAAGAAUGAAACUCAAAGGAAUUGACAGAGGCCUGCACAAGCGGUGGAGCAUGUGGUUUAAUUCAAUGCAAAGCAAAGAACCUUACCAAGGCUUGACAUGCUGUAGGAAAAGCUCGAACGACCUUUAACAAAAAGGUACCUUCACCCGAAAAUGAAACAGGUAAGUAGGUAGAGAAUACCUAGGGGUGGAAGACAACUCUCUCUAAGGAAAUAGGCAAAAUAGCCUGUUACUUUGGGAGAAGGGGUGCGAAUCCUCUUGAAAGAGAAAGGUGCCUUCGGGAACUCGGACACAGGUGGUGCAUGGCUGUCGUUGACUCGUGCCAUAAGGUGUUGGGUUAAGUCCCGCAACAAGCGCAACCCUCAUGUUUAGUUGCCACUAUUGAGUUUGGAACCUUAAGCAGACUGUCGAUGAUAAGCCGAAGCAAGGUAAAGAUGACGUCAAGUCAUCAUGCCUCUUAUGCCCUGGGUGACACACGUGCUUUAAUGGUUGGGACAAAGGGCUGCGAUCCUGAAAGGGUGAGGUAACUCCAAAAACCCGUCCUCGGUUCCAAUCGCAGGCUGCAACUUGCCUACAUGAAGCCAAAAUUGCUAAUAAUCGCUGUUAAGCCAUAUGGCGGUGAAUUCGUUCCCGAGCCUUGUAUAAACCGCCCGUCACACUGUGGGAGCUAGCCCCACCUAAAUUCAUUACCUUAAUCAUAAGGAGGGGGAUGCCGAAGGCAGAGCUAGUGACUGGAGUAAAGUCAUAACAAGGUAGCCGUACUAGAAGGUGCGGCUAAAUCACCUCCUUU